CNGCAGUCGACGAUUCCUACGGGAGGCAGCAGUGAGGAAUAUUGGACAAUCAGCGAAAGCUGGAUCCAGCAACGCCGCGUGGACGAUGAAGGCCUUCGGGUUGUAAAGUCCUUUUCAGAGGGAAGAGGAAGGACGGUACCUCUGGAAUAAGUCUCGGCUAACUACGUGCCAGCAGCCGCGGUAACACGUAGGAGGCAAGCGUUAUCCGGAUUCAUUGGGCGUAAAGCGCACGCAGGCGGCUAGGUAAGUCGGGUGUGAAAGCCCCGGACUUAAUCCGGGGAGGUCAUUCGAUACUGCUUGGCUUGAGAGCGGGAGAGGGAAGUGGAAUUCUCGGUGUAGUGGUGAUAUGCGUAGAUAUCGAGAGGAACACCAGUGGCGAAGGCGGCUUCCUGGCCCGUUUCUGACGCUAAGGUGCGAAAGCGUGGGGAGCAAACGGACUUAGAUACUCCGGUAGUCCACGCCGUAAACGAUGAAUGUUAGCCGUCGGGUAGCAUGCUAUUCGGUGGCGCAGCUAACGCAUUAAACAUUCCGCCUGGGGAGUACGGUCGCAAGAUUAAAACUCAAAGGAAUUGACGG
rnacentral:rRNA from 1 species